rnacentral:rRNA from 1 species
GCACAAGCGGUGGAGCAUGUGGUUUAAUUCGACGCAACGCGAAGAACCUUACCUGGGCUUGACAUGUUCCUGACCGUCCUGGAAACAGGGCUUCCCUUCGGGGCAGGAUCACAGGUGGUGCAUGGCUGUCGUCAGCUCGUGUCGUGAGAUGUUGGGUUAAGUCCCGCAACGAGCGCAACCCCCGUCGCAUGUUGCCAGCAUUUAGUUGGGGACUCAUGCGAGACUGCCGGUGACAAACCGGAGGAAGGUGGGGAUGACGUCAAGUCAUCAUGCCCCUUAUGUCCAGGGCUACACACGUGCUACAUUGGCGCGUACAGAGAGCUGCGAUACCGCGAGGUGGAGCGAAUCCCUUAAAGCGCGUCUCGGUUCGGAUUGCAGGCUGAAACCCGCCUGCAUGAAGGCGGAGUUGCUAGUAAUCGCGGAUCAGCAUUGCCGCGGUGAAUACGUUCCCGGGC